UCACCGCACCGGCGCGCUCCCCGUCACCUCCCCGAGCAGGCGACCCAGGCUGCCUCUGCCAUUGGAACCACCACCCCAUCCUUAUGCGAGCCGUUGUCGGAGCCAUGGCUGUGGGCCGACUUUUGCUGCCGUUGCCGCCGCUGGGAUCAUCUUACUUGUCCCUCCACGCGCCACUAAUACAAGCUGCGCAACCGUUGCCGGCACAACCCUCCGCCGCGUGACGGAAUUGUCGCCGCCUCUUACAGUUGAUGGCAAGUUGACGACAUGUUGAUUUUCCAUUGUACUGAAGCUGAUGGACAAGUUCUUCUGUCAACCACAACGACCGAGAGCAAAGGUGGAUGCAUGCACCUUCACCGCCUGCAGAGAAAAUGGAAAGAGAGGUGGACCUCAAGGAAACAAAGAAUGAGAAAAUAAGGAAUAAACAAGGAGGGGCAGGGAGGUCACGGCCUCCAAGCCAAUGGCAAGUUAUAUGAUUAUAUCACUCCGGUCCAGAGCCCUGCUGCAUGCCAUGAAUACCACGAGAGACAUCAAGAAGCAGGUGCCAUGGGGUUAUCGGCGUCGAGGUGCACCCCAAUGGCGGACCGAGUGUGCAGGAGGUGGACAUGAGGCGGACCGAGACGUCAUGUUGCUAGAUAAGUAUAAACACCGGGAUUAUCAGGAAGCUGGUGAGCUUCUACCAUCCUUCAAUGUUAGCAUGAUUAGACAUUCAAUAUACUUAUUCAUAUUCAUAUAUAUUUUUUAAAGCUAUGCGAAGCUCAUGUUUAGAUA